rnacentral:rRNA from 1 species
AUGCUUGCUAAUUACACUUUUAAAGACAGAGUACCUAAAAAACUUGGAGAUCCCAGAAUCCCCACUAUACCCUGCUCCAUCAAAAGAAAUUAUGUGAAAACUGUUGUAUGUGAUUUAGGAGCUGGUGUUAGUGUUAUGCCUUUCUCUUUAUAUAAAAGAUUUGAUUUGAAUAAACUCACACCUAUUGAAAUAUCUUUGCAAAUGGCUGAUAAAUCAACUACCAUACCUAUCGGUAUUUGUGAGGAUGUGCCCGUUGUUGUUGCUAAUGUUACUAUCUUUACUGACUUUGUUAUACUAGAGAUGCCCAAGGAUGACAACAUGUCAAUUAUCCUUGAUAGACCCUUUUAG